rnacentral:lncRNA from 1 species
CAUCAAAGUGACAAUCCGCAAUUUAGCGGUGAAUGAGAUCGCCUGACAAGGUUUCUACAUAUGCGGAUUAUAGGUGGAGGUUCAUAUCCAACCUAAACUUAGUCAUCUCAAAUGACCAAUCAUUGUACGCAAUGGCAAUGCGAUUUGGCAUCUAGAAAUAACAUCUAGCCGAGCUCAAGGAUUGGAGAUCCGUUUCAAUCUUGCCGAGCUCAAGGAUUGCAAUUUCGUGUUAAUCCUGGUACACAGUCACGAGCUGUAGUACAACAAAAUUCAAUGAUGGUGGGUCGUAGAUGAAUAGUAAAGCUGCAUGCAAAUAUUGCAUAGCCCCAAGACGCAAUAGAAAGAGUGGUGCACAUCAAUAAUGUUCGAGCGACAAGCUAAAGUUGCUUGGUCAUAGCCUCGGUGAGACCGUAUUGCGUGUGAACAUGGGGCACAGGACACUUCAACUUACAUCCCGAUAAACUUCUUUAAAAAAUGGGUAGUGAGCCCGUAGAAGUAUAAGCAGCAUAAGCAGUAGAUAAUAGUGUAACACGUGACCAGUGUGUUAACACUUCAACCAACACCAUAAAGCAUAAAAAGUUGUCCGCAAAUUGGUUGUAUCUAUCUACAUAGUUUGAUGUAAGAAUAGAAUGUUCACUUUUGUGUUAUUUAGCGUAGGAGGGUCUCACUCCUUAUUUAGCUAAAGAAUAGGCUUUCAAAACGAGCAAUGAGCAUUGCAGGGGGCCAAUGCGACAUCGAGGAAAGGCCGGUGCACCUCAAUUGCUUGAGGAAUUGACCGGACGACAUCCAGGAAGUUGGAGUCGUAUUCGGGUGACCUCAAUGUCCCCCGGGUCACCACCAUGCUUCAUGGUGAUGCUAGAUCUCGAAUGUCUUCGUUUUGAGCGGAAGAAUGGAUGUCCAUGAGAUUUUCUCAAAAUUUGGACCAUUAUAUCUCUUCUAGGUUGACCAAUUUGGUCAAACCAAAGCCUAUAUGAGUCGGUGUCCCAAAUAUCAUAUAUGGCGACAACAUGGGAUUCGAUAUUCGAAUCGUAGUGACAUACAGUUCACUAGAUUGACUCAUGAAUUUCUCCAAGAUGCGCUUCAGUUCGCAUUCAUGAGGAGGUAUACACAAAAGAAUUCUUGUUCAUUCUCACAAUGUGUUUUCAAAUGAAAACCAUUAGCAGGAAUGUCUUUAAAACUUAACAUGGUUCCUUAGAAUGUUGUGGAUAGUUCCGCUAUCUGCGAAGCACUCAAUGUCUCUAUGAG